rnacentral:rRNA from 1 species
AUGAUCUUUUGCACAACUAGCCAGGCAACUUUGAUGAUCGAUCCCAUAUUAAACUUGUGGGUAGUGCAACAUAAUAGAGCAUACAAAAUGAUCCGUUUCAGAAGCAUCCAAAACAUUGAGGAAUGCAAAAUGAAAAGAUUUUUUGACGAAUGGAAUUUCAUUCAAUCUUCGCAUCAAGGUGGUACAACCACAGCGAGUGCAAACCCAGCAUUUGCAUGUCCACUGCUCAAUGCGCCGGAAAAAAACACGAAAUCAAUUGCGAAUGCAAAGAAAGGAAGAGAUAAUGCCAUCGCGGCCAUUAAUUAA